GGGGAGUUAGCUCAGAUGGUAGAGCACUUGCUUUGCAUGCAAGAGGUGGUGGGAUCGAUGCCCACAUUCUCCA
rnacentral:tRNA from 1 species